rnacentral:rRNA from 1 species
CGGAUCGGGGCGUAAAAGAGCUCGUAGGCGGUUUGUCGCGUCGUCUGUGAAAUUCUGCAACUCAAUUGUAGGCGUGCAGGCGAUACGGGCAGACUUGAGUACUACAGGGGAGACUGGAAUUCCUGGUGUAGCGGUGAAAUGCGCAGAUAUCAGGAGGAACACCGGUGGCGAAGGCGGGUCUCUGGGUAGUAACUGACGCUGAGGAGCGAAAGCGUGGGUAGCGAACAGGAUUAAAUACCCUGGUAGUCCACGCCGUAAACGGUGGGUACUAGGUGUGGGUUCCUUUUCACGGGAUCCGUGCCGUAGCUAACGCAUUAAGUACCCCGCCUGGGGAGUACGGCCGCAAGGCUAAAACUCAAAGGAAUUGACGGGGGCCCGCACAAGCGGCGGAGCAUGUGGAUUAAUUCGAUGCAACGCGAAAAACCUUACCUGGGUUUGACAUACACCAGACACGGCUAGAGAUAGUCGUUCCCUUGUGGUUGGUGUACAGGUGGUGCAUGGCUGUCUUCCGCUCGUGUCGUGAGAUGUUGGGUUAAGUCCCUCAACGAGCGCAACCCUUGUCCUGUAUUGCCAGCGGGUUAUGCCGGGGACUUGCAAGAGACUGCCGGGGUCAACUCGGAGGAAGGUGGGGAUGACGUCAAGUCAUCAUGCCCCUUAUGUCCAAGGCUUCUCACAUGCUACAAUGGCUGGUACAGAUGGCUGCAAUACCGUGACGUUGAUCGAAUCACUUAAAGCCAGUCUCCAUUUCGAUUGGGGUCUGCCAACCCCA